rnacentral:rRNA from 1 species
UACGGGGGGAGCAAGCGUUAUCCGGAAUGAUUGGGCGUAAAGCAUUCGUAGGUGGUAGAUGAAGUCUACUGUCAAAUACCAGGGCUCAACCUUGGACAGGCAGUGGAGUACUCAUUUACUAGAGCGUGGUAGAGGUAGAGGGAAUUCCCCGUGGAGCGGUGAAAUGCGUAGAGAUCGGAAAGAACACCAACGGCGGAAAGCACUCUGCUGGGCCGACACUGACACUGGAGAAGACGAAAGCUAGGGGAGCGAAUGGG